GUUAAGUUGCAGGGUAUAGACCCGAAACCCGGUGAUCUAGCCAUGGGCAGGUUGAAGGUUGGGUAACACUAACUGGAGGACCGAACCGACUAAUGUUGAAAAAUUAGCGGAUGACCUGUGGCUGGGGGUGAAAGGCCAAUCAAACCGGGAGAUAGCUGGUUCUCCCCGAAAGCUAUUUAGGUAGCGCCUCGUGAAUUCAUCUCCGGGGGUAGAGCACUGUUUCGGCUAGGGGGCCAUCCCGGCUUACCAACCCGAUGCAAACUGCGAAUACCGGAGAAUGUUAUCACGGGAGACACACGGCGGGUGCUAACGUCCGUCGUGAAGAGGGAAACAACCCAGACCGCCAGCUAAGGUCCCAAAGUCAUGGUUAAGUGGGAAACGAUGUGGGAAGGCCCAGACAGCCAGGAUGUUGGCUUAGAAGCAGCCAUCAUUUAAAGAAAGCGUAAUAGCUCACUGGUCGAGUCGGCCUGCGCGGAAGAUGUAACGGGGCUAAACCAUGCACCGAAGCUGCGGCAGCGACACUGUGUGUUGUUGGGUA
rnacentral:rRNA from 3 species